rnacentral:rRNA from 1 species
CCUACGUGUGGCAGCAGUGAGGAAUAUUGGUCAAUGGGCGGGAGCCUGAACCAGCCAAGUCGCGUGAGGGACGACGGUCCUAUGGAUUGUAAACCUCUUUUGUCGGGGAACAAAGGCGCCCACGGGUGGGCGGAUGAGUGUACCCGAAGAAAAAGCAUCGGCUAACUCCGUGCCAGCAGCCGCGGUAAUACGGAGGGUGCAAGCGUUGUCCGGAAUCAUUGGGCGUAAAGAGUUCGUAGGCGGCAUGUAAAGUCAGGUGUUAAAGGCGCAGGCUCAACCUGUGUAUGGCACUUGAUACUUGCAAGCUGGAAUGCGGUAGAGGUAAAGGGAAUUCCUGGUGUAGCGGUGAAAUGCUUAGAUAUCAGGAGGAACAUCGGUGGCGUAAGCGCUUUACUGGGCCGUAAUUGACGCUGAGGAACGAAAGCCAGGGUAGCAAAUGGGAUUAGAUACCCUUGUAGUC